rnacentral:lncRNA from 1 species
UUUCUUUAUUAUAGGGCUCUCUUCCAGAUAAGGCAUCUGAUCAAACUGACCUGAUUUUACACCUGCUACAUGCAUACAAUGCACUCAUAUAUAAGUAACUGGUAAUACUAAUUAUAAAAGGCGUUCAGAAACUUGAUAGUGUGAUGAAGAUGUAUGACUACAAAAGUGGUGUCUCCCUCGCACUUGUUAAAGAGAAGUAAGUACGAAACUUGUUCUUUUUCACUUUUUGCAUUAAUGAACGUCCGGAAACCUCAAACCCCACAAAAAAUACUGCUGUGUUAAUAGUGUUAUGAAUAAUUUUUUGUGAAAGCUUUUUACAGACAAGUUGUGGUCUCGUUUCUAGGAGGUUGAGCUGUAUCAUGCAGAAUAACAUGGAAAGUGGUCACAUGGAAGCAUGACACGAUAUCAUAAAGAU